rnacentral:lncRNA from 1 species
CACUUUAUGAGAUGAGUGGUUGAGAUUGAAUUUUGAGUGGGUUUUUUGUAAAUAAAGAGUGUUAGUAAGGAUAAAAUAUUAAAGAUGAUGGUGGGACCAUUGCCAUAAAAGGAAAGUGACAUAAUCUUGGCGGACGCCCAAUAUAGUAAUUGUGACAUAAUCUUGGCGGACGGAGGGAGUAUAUUUUAUUUACAUUUUUAUUUUACCUAAAUUUAUGUUUUUUUUUUGCCAAUUUUUUUCCAAAAAUUAUAUUUUAUUUUUAAAUUGUUUUUUUUUCGAAUUUUUUAUUUUUCUUUUAAAAUAUUCUUUCCUUAAAUUUCUCAACUACAUUUAAUCUUAUCCUAAAUGUAUUUUAUCUACAUUUUUAUUUUACCUAAAUUUUUGUUUUUUU